GAUGAACGCUGGCGGCGUGCCUAAUACAUGCAAGUCGAGCGAACAGACGAGGAGCUUGCUCCUCUGACGUUAGCGGCGGACGGGUGAGUAACACGUGUAUAACCUACCUAUAAGACUGGUAUCACUUCGGGAAACCGGAUCUAAUACCGUAUAAUAUAUUGAACCGCAUGGUUCAAUAGUGAAAGACGGUGUUUCUGUCACGUAUAGAUGGAUCCGCGCCGGAUUAGCUAGUUGGUAAGUUAACGGCCUACCAAGGCAACGAUGCGUAGCCGACCUGAGAGGGGGGUCGGCCACCCUGGAACUGAGACACGGACAAGACUCCUAAGGGAGGCAGCAGUAGGGAAUCUUACGCAAUGGGCGAGAGCCUGACGGAGCAGCGGCGAGUGAGAGAUGAAGGUCUUCGGAGCGUAAAACUCUGUUAUUAGGGAAGAACAAAUGUGUCAGUAACUAUGCACGUAUUGACGGUACCUAAUCAGAAAGCAACGGCUAACUACGUG
rnacentral:rRNA from 1 species